UUUAUAAUGCACCGCUAAGCAGGUGGUAAAUUCCAUCUAAAGCUAAAUAUUGGUGCGAGACCGAUAGCAUACAAGUACCGUGAGGGAAAGAUGAAAAGAACUCUGAAAAGAGAGUUAAAGAGAAUCUGAAACUGCUGAAAGGUAACCGGAUCGUUCCCAGUGUCUAGAAUCCGCGGCAUAUUCCACUGGCGAGUGUGUAUUUGUAUAUACUGUGGUAGCUGCUGUCUAGUAGUGCCUGGUGUGUAUAUAAUGCAUGUUUGUUAUUGCUUUGUGCUGCGGUGGGACGUCAAUGUCAGUUCAUGUGCUGCGGGAAAUGGCUGCCAAGGAGGUAGGACUUACGCUUGCGUUUGCCUAUUAUAUCUUGGUGGACGAGUCAUCGCGGCUGCGCUGAGUCUCCCGGA
rnacentral:rRNA from 1 species